AUAUAUAUAUAAUCAUCAUUUCAAUACCACAUCAUCACACAAAAUCCCUUCACAAUUCAACAUAAUCCAACCAUGCACCAGAAUAAUCCAACAUCAUUUCCAAUCAUCUUUCAACAACAAUCAAAUAACAUACUUCUUAUGCUCACAUGCAUAUAUAUAUACAUAUCCAUAUAAAUAACACCAACAUAAUUUACAUCCUUACCAUAAAAUGGCCCUUUUGAUUUCGAAGUCCUGUUGGCACAAAUAAGGGGUGCUUCUCGAAGCCCUCGAGACGGUGAACACAACUACGGAAUCAAUUUGGAUUUUCUACGGUUGAAUCACAAGAUAAUUGGAGUUGAACUUAGGCUAGGGUUUCUUAUUCUUCAAUAAUUUGGAUGAUAAAUGAUGGAUAUGAGGCUAAGUAUAUGUAUAUAAUGACCAAUUUUCGUCCAUGAGGUGAUGGAAAAUGACCAUAUUGCCCUUAAAAUUUAAGUAAAUCCGAAUCUGUCCAUGGUGGACUGUUUUGAUAGGCUAAAGUAAAUCGACCAUAACUCUUUGCUCCGAUAAUGGAUUUGGGUGAAACCAAUUGCAUUAGAAAGAAGACUCUCAGGGCUUCUCAUCGAUAUAUAGCAGCUCACACAGUUCAUUUUUUACAAGGAGUUAUGAUCGUUUAAAGUCGACCCAAAAAUCUGUUUGGCUGCAGUACUUUCGUGUGCAGAAAAUUUCUGCACAUUUACUGUUCAUUGCGUCCACCGUUUUCAAGUUUCGAACAUGCUCGCUUAUAUCCGAUACUCAUCUGUUUUCAGAAAUCUUUAUAUCGUUGGAAAGCUAACUCGAUAAACUUCGCAUAGAAACUUCGACGAGCAAAUUCCGGUAUAAAUAAAGUCGAUUCCUAUACACAUAUAAUCAAACUAUACACUUGAAACCAUCUCAAAAUAAUCAAUACUCAUACUUAAACUCAUAUACACCUAACUUAUGAUCAAUACAUAUACUCCAACACAUAUAACCAUGGCUAAUGCACGUAAUUAAGUACGGGGUGUUA
rnacentral:lncRNA from 1 species